rnacentral:lncRNA from 1 species
CUUAAACUUUGAUUUUAAUGUAAGUUUAAAAUAAAAUAAUGCUGGUUUCAGUCUGAAGGUUUUUAUUUUGAACUAUCAUCACUGCGGGCAGGAAAGGGUUAAAGUGGUUCACCUGGAGGACAGGUGAGGCUCGUUACCAGACUCGCGUCUGUCAUUAAUUCAUUCUCUUCUGUAACUCACCUUAAUCAUACGCCCAAACAGGUGAGUCACCCCGAGGGUGUUUUUUGUUAUCCAGCUUCACUGAACCAGCCAGCAUGCUGAGGUCAUAGGACAGCGGUCAUCGGCUCUGUGAUGGAGGCUGAGAAUGGGGCGGGGCCAAGCCCAUCCCCUCCUAGUUCUAAACCUGAUCUUGAUCCCUGUCCUGGUCCUUAAUCAGAGCCACGUGAUGGACUCUGUGCUCCUGUGCCCGGACAGUCUGAUGAGGUUCUGGUCACCAUCGACUCAGAUGCUCUGAUGGUGGCCUCACCUGAAGGAGAGGCUGCAGGUCGGAAAGGUCCGGACCCACAGCUGUGGAACAGCAGCUAUCUGGAGAGACACCGCAGGAAGCGCAUCACACAGAGCUGCAGCAUGCUGUGUCGCCUGCUACCCACAAUCCAAGGCAGCCAUGUUGACAUGGUAACAGUGCUGGAGAUGACGGUGGCGCUCUUAAAGACAGUUCAGGAAGUAGUCCCAGCUGAGGACCCAAACAUACAGGUGUGUCCUCCUGCCGCCCUUCAUGCUCAUUAG